rnacentral:tRNA from 1 species
GCCGCCCUAGCUCAGUGGUAGAGCAUCGGUAUCGUAAACCGAGGGUCGUGGGUUCAAAUCCCAUGGGCGGCU